rnacentral:rRNA from 1 species
AUUGAACGCUGGCGGCAUGCUUUACACAUGCAAGUCGAACGGUAACAGGGAGCUUGCUCCGCUGACGAGUGGCGAACGGGUGAGUAAUGCGUCGGAACGUGCCGAGUAGUGGGGGAUAACGCAUCGAAAGGUGUGCUAAUACCGCAUACGAACUGAGGUUGAAAGUGGGGGACCUUCGGGCCUCACGCUAUUCGAGCGGCCGACGUCUGAUUAGCUAGUUGGUGAGGUAAAGGCUCACCAAGGCGACGAUCAGUAGCGGGUCUGAGAGGAUGAUCCGCCACACUGGGACUGAGACACGGCCCAGACUCCUACGGGAGGCAGCAGUGGGGAAUUUUGGACAAUGGGCGCAAGCCUGAUCCAGCCAUGCCGCGUGUCUGAAGAAGGCCUUCGGGUUGUAAAGGACUUUUGUCCGGGAGCAAAUGCUGGUGGCUAACAUCCACCGGAGCUGAGAGUACCGGAAGAAUAAGCACCGGCUAACUACGUGCCAGCCGCCGCGGUAAGAC